GACGAACGCUGGCGGCGUGCUUAACACAUGCAAGUCGAACGGAAAGGCCCUUCGGGGUACUCGAGUGGCGAACGGGUGAGUAACACGUGGGUGAUCUGCCCUGCACUUUGGGAUAAGCCUGGGAAACUGGGUCUAAUACCGGAUAUACCUCAUGGACUGCAUGGUUUGUGGGGGAAAGCUUUUGCGGUGUGGGAUGGGCCCGCGGCCUAUCAGCUUGUUGGUGAGGUUACGGCUCACCAAGGCGACGACGGGUAGCCGGCCUGAGAGGGUGACCGGCCACACUGGGACUGAGAUACGGCCCAGACUCCUACGGGAGGCAGCAGUGGGGAAUAUUGCACAAUGGGCGCAAGCCUGAUGCAGCGACGCCGCGUGAGGGAUGACGGCCUUCGGGUUGUAAACCUCUUUCAGCAGGGACGAAGCGCAAGUGACGGUACCUGUAGAAGAAGGACCGGCCAACUACGUGCCAGCAGCCGCGGUAAUACGUAGGGUCCGAGCGUUGUCCGGAAUUACUGGGCGUAAAGAGCUCGUAGGUGGUUUGUCGCGUUGUUCGUGAAAACUCACAGCUCAACUGUGGGCGUGCGGGCGAUACGGGCAGACUUGAGUACUGCAGGGGAGACUGGAAUUCCUGGUGUAGCGGUGGAAUGCGCAGAUAUCAGGAGGAACACCGGUGGCGAAGGCGGGUCUCUGGGCAGUAACUGACGCUGAGGAGCGAAAGCGUGGGGAGCGAACAGGAUUAGAUACCCUGGUAGUCCACGCCGUAAACGGUGGGUACUAGGUGUGGGUUUCCUUCCUUGGGAUCCGUGCCGUAGCUAACGCAUUAAGUACCCCGCCUGGGGAGUACGGCCGCAAGGCUAAAACUCAAAGAAAUUGACGGGGGCCCGCACAAGCGGCGGAGCAUGUGGAUUAAUUCGAUGCAACGCGAAGAACCUUACCUGGGUUUGACAUGCACAGGACGCUGGUAGAGAUAUCAGUUCCCUUGUGGCCUGUGUGCAGGUGGUGCAUGGCUGUCGUCAGCUCGUGUCGUGAGAUGUUGGGUUAAGUCCCGCAACGAGCGCAACCCUUAUCUUAUGUUGCCAGCGCGUAAUGGCGGGGACUCGUGAGAGACUGCCGGGGUCAACUCGGAGGAAGGUGGGGAUGACGUCAAGUCAUCAUGCCCCUUAUGUCCAGGGCUUCACACAUGCUACAAUGGCCGGUACAAAGGGCUGCGAUGCCGUGAGGUGGAGCGAAUCCUUUCAAAGCCGGUCUCAGUUCGGAUCGGGGUCUGCAACUCGACCCCGUGAAGUCGGAGUCGCUAGUAAUCGCAGAUCAGCAACGCUGCGGUGAAUACGUUCCCGGGCCU
rnacentral:rRNA from 1 species